UNUUUUUGAUGUUGUGAUAGCUACUGCUGUUUCAAUGUUCUGAACUUCUGAGAAGGGUCAUAGAGACAUAGACUGGGUGUUCAAUGUUGGAAUAUAUCUACUUCCUGUUAUCAUUUCUGAUGGGACUUUGUGCAAUGUUGGCUUGAUUAUUUGCAGAACAGCCUGCAAAUACUGCAGGUUAUAUGUAGAACAUUUGGAACUUUGCAUAAAGCGUAUAGCAAGUGUACUGUAUGUACCAGUACAUGUUACAGCGAUACGGCAUAAAAUGCAAAAAAUUAGAUUUAAUAUUCUAUUUAUAUACUAGCAUAGACCGUUUAUCCGAUUCACAACAGACUGCACAGGAACAACACCACAUCAGAAACAAAGUACUCCCUUCGUUCCAUAAUAUAAAAGUGUUUUAAUCUCUUAUAUAUUAUUAAUACAAAUGCCCGCGGAUUGUACCGGGUUAGAAAAAAGUACAUAAUCUAUUUUUUUUGCCAUUAAAUGUUAAAUGUAAGACAUCGGUAUGGUGUAAGUGUUUUUAGCAGCAUUCACAAAUUAGUGGCUAUCGAUCGUUGCUGCAGCUGAGUACCAAUGCAUAAACAAUCUUGGGUGAUUAGCCAAAGAACUACUUUCGUAAGUUUGGGCAUUGUACAGAACCACGACCUGCCCAAGGAUUGAUGGGGAUCCUUGACACAGCAUCGAGCUGGUGAACCAGGCGUGCACCCGGCUCAGGGAGUUGACCGACGCGGAGGGCCUCAAGGCCGUCGAUCUGGUCACCACCAUGAUAGCACGCCGGGUGGAGUGAAGCCUGAUUUAAACCUUGUGGUUGUAAAGCUCGUUGUAAACAAACCAUCAUCUUUAAAUCCCUGAAGUUUGUACCCUAUCC
rnacentral:lncRNA from 1 species